UUAAACCCUCCUUUUAUCUUUUCUUCUUCCCUCAAACCCCAAACUCCAAAACUAUGAAAUAAAUAAAUCUAUUUCAAAUGUUUCCAUUUUGAAAUUAAAUUCUUGUCUGGUUUGUUUUCAAAUUUGUUUCCAACCAGUUUUAAAAUCAAAGAGGAAACGUAUUUUCGAAAUAAAAAUAAAACCUAAACCUCCUCUUCUCCCCUGGGCCAUCUCCCUCUCUCUGGCCGUCUCUCCUCUCUCCUUUCUCUUCCUCCCCGGCGGCCCAGCUUCUUUCCCCUCCGGCCCACCUCCUUCUCUCUGGCAGCCCACGUACCGGUUCAGUGGAGACUGAUCUCCCCCUCGUCGUCUUGUGGCACGCCACGAGCGUGAACCCUCCUGUGCCCGAUGACAUCGCCAUGGCUCUGGACCACGUCGCUUUUCACCUGCUCCCUUCCCUCUCUGCCUUAUCUCUGGACGCGGAGGCCGCUCCUCCACGCAAAUCCCCACCUGCUCCUCCUUAUCUCCUCCUUCCCCUUUUCUUCUUCCUCUCCAAGCCAGGAACGAGUGAGGCGAAACUCCACAGUACCAUGCCUCCUCACCGUCGAGCGACCAUCUCCGGCCGCCCCUAGCGAUGCCGCCACCACCAAUCGACGCCCCUCGUCGUCCUCGACCUCCUGGCGCAAGGAAUCGGUCCGGGAGGUCUUCAUCGCGUCGCCAUCGACCUCGAUACCCGCCACGGGCACCGGCGAAUUUCUCCGAUUCCGGCGACGCCCGUCCUCCUACGGCCAAACCGAACCCUCCUCGAGCCUCCUGAUCCUCGCCGCCGGCGACCUCCGGUGAUCCCCUGUGCCUGGCGCCGCCUUCUUCCUGUCCGCGCCGACGAGGCGCAUCCGAGGAGCCCGUGCGCGCAUCCUGGGGCGCCCUGCAACGCCCGCUCGCCCCAUGCCGUCCUCGCGGUGGUGACCGCCGCCCCGCGCUGGAAACCCCUGUCGAACAGCUUCAGUGCGCCCAGCACGCUUCGCCACGCUGGCAGCCACGUGGCCAGCGGGCCCCACUCGUCAGCGACACCGGCUAGGGCCUGGCUCGUUUCCAGAUCCAACCCGGGGUCCCUCCUCUGGCGAGUCAGCGCCCAGUCAGCAGCCGGACCCGCGCGUCAGUGACCUGGGCUUGCGCUCUCUUCGCAUUUGCUUCUUCCCGGAUAGGAUCGCGAAGUGGUGUUGUGAGAUACGACGAGUUCUUCGACAAGUUCUUCUGCAGCUUUUCACAGGCGAGCCCACCCCUUCACCUAUUUUACUUUUACAUGCUCUUUUGAUCUAUUGCUAUCCUUAUGUUGCGAUUCUGUUGUGUCACGUGUCCUAUCCACCUGUUACCUAUAUGUCCGAGAUACACCUCCUCGCCCUACCUAUUGUUUGUUGUUUGCCAGCUUUGCGAGUCGUAGGCGAGUUUAGGGUCUUGUUGAUAUCUCGAGAUGUUCGGGAUAUCUUGUUGGAAGGUUAUCACAUGCUAUAUCUUUUGUUGGAGAUAAUCACACUUUACUUUAUUGUUAACAACUAAAAUUGUAAGCAGAGGCAUCUGUGAGCCCCUUUGCGAAAGCAUCGGAACUUUGACUUGCUAAUGUCCCCUAGGACCCGAGUUCUUGUUAUCUGUUCCGAGAUUGAGCGCUCUACCCGUACGUGGGGGAGUGGGACCCCCAUCACCCACUACCUUUCCUCGAGUCUGUUUAUUGGGAGCCACAACCUUGGUUUUAUUUGCCCAUAUGCACGAUGCACGAUUUACUUCCUGUUGCCUUCGGGUGUUUAUUACUGUACUGUACUCAUAACGCGGAUAGACUUAUCUUGUGCCUGGUCGUAAGUGCCCGCCUGGACUAUGUCGCAAAC